AAUUAUUCUCUAGUGGUUUAUCGGUCUUCGUGUCACGAGUUUUCUCGUAUCAAGAACCGCAGUCAUGUGCUCUCGCUUCUUGUGCGUCUUGUUUUCCUCAAUUUCGCAUAUUUUCAGACUGGUCGCCGACGACUUCCUUCCAUUCCUCCCAGGCGCAUUCGAAACAAACGCUCCGAGUAUCUACGAAAUUCGAUAUAUUAAUCAAAAUUCGUCCAGCGUCGAUCAAGCAAUUAGAACGGAAUCGUGAGAACGAGGAGGACUAUCAGUAGCAAAAGGAAAGACAAAAACUGAGAGACUGAUUAAUCGGAUAAUAUGAGAAUUGAUAGAAAGUUAAAUGGACGAAGGAAAAUACGAAAUCGUAAAUUAAAUCUUAAAAUUGGUCACUUGACCAGUGUUAAUUGGAACAUAAACUUACUUGAAAGAAGCGAAUAUCAGAACGAACAAGCAAUCGAUUUGAUCGGAAGACUUCCUUUAUUAUCAAAAACAAGUGGCACGUCCAAGGCUCGAAUCAGAUGCGACAAAUUGAUUCGUACAUGUUUGUAACAGGAAAUAAUGGGAACGUAGUAUUUCCAUAAAUAAAUAACUGGUGUCUAUUACAGUUAUCGAACGAUCGAUGCACUCUUAUCGGCUGGAAGAUAAACGAACCGCAGAUUAUUCAGCGAAGAUUACGAUAGAUGGAAAUUCACGCAGCUAGCACAAGAUUCUCGAAGGAUUACUGCGCGUUCCCGUUUCGUCACGUUUAUUGGAUUAAUUGACGCUACGGCAUGCUAUUUUUGCGUCACGCCACGAAAUCGCAUCGUCCCAGAGAGAGGCAACUGGCGAGGCUUAUCAAGCACAAUUUCACAACAAAAUGGAACGAUACGAAAAUAUCAGCGAACUUGCAUUAGAUCAAGACCUCCGUCGGUUUCUUCGCAGAUAAUGCACCGAUGUCUAAUUAGAUCGAGACUCGACGGGUGACCGGAAAUGGCGGACGUCUAGCCGGAAGAUCGCGCUGUACCGUCGGGAUCGACCAGCCGGCGAAGAAUGGGAAGGGCUAAAUCGAAUCGCGUUGAACGAUGUUGACGAGUGCCCAAUAAAAUCCGAGCCCAGCGUAUUAUUUUUCGUUUCUCCGCGCGACUCGCCGUUAUCAGGCGACUCGCGCCAAUAGAAAAUCAUCCUCGACUCCCGCGUUAUCGGGUUCACUUGUGUCGGAUUGCGACAUCCCGCGAAAAUUGUGAGAUCACUUUUUAAUUAAUAUUCAAACGCUGAGCGAGCCGCGGAUCGCGGUGUUGCUCAACGAUCCAUUGGCGUGCUUCGAAUACGCGUUUCUGGGUCGAUCGAGCGUUCAUGUAAAUGUCGAUUUUUGUGAACUCUAGUGGAAACUAACGAGGCAUUUGCAUAUAUCAUUGAUUUCAUCGGGGAUCUUUUCUUUUCGCUGAAUCGGUCGUUGAUUUACCUUGGAUGCUUAUGAGUUUGCGUUGAGCGAGAAUGUAGUGGUGAAAUAGAUGUGUAGAUUCUUUGAUUAACGAAUCGGUUUUUAAUUGCGUUCAACGGUUUUGUUGUUCAUUAUUCAGUAAAAGAGAAAAAUUCUACGUUUAU